rnacentral:lncRNA from 1 species
CAAACUUUGCAAUGUUUUCCUCAUUUUCUUCUGAAGGUUUAUCCUUCUUUCUCUCUCGGUUCUGGUUGAUUUAUCCUGCCUAAUUCCGGAUGAGAAAAGCUUAUGUUUUUCCUUUCCGAUUGUGGAUUUUUGCUUUCCUCAUGGCCGAGAAGAUGUAGAUAAUUUUUUGCCUCCUCUAUAGAUUUUUGUCUAUAUAAAUAAAAUAUAUAUUGAUUUGUCUUUUCUGUUGAAUUUGCAUUUUGUUUUUACUCUUGCAUAUUGAUUCUUUUGCAAGUAGUCGCAGCAGUUGAGGGAGUUGGAGACGCCGUUUCUAGAUCUGUGGUUUCUCUGGCUAUUUGUAGGACUUUCUCGCGAGUCGUCAUUUUAGCUUGGUCUGAACAUCUCUGAGGAUAUUCAUGGAGCCUCAGUCGUUUCGGCUUCCCGAUCCUUCAUCAUCUACAAGAGAUUGAGAUGGCGUUGAACUCAAUUCCGCUGCCUAUCGAGAUCUCCAGUCACUCCCUUCCUCCUUCCCGUUUGCACAAAUAUAGAGUUCUUUAGUCGUUUUUCUGGAGCAGAUCUUCCUAUUUGGUAGAUUGCUGUCGUGUUCUCUCAGUAAUGUUCCGGAUCAUUGGCUUGGGCAGAGAAGACUUGUGGUUGCUUCUAAGUUGGUUGCUUUACUGCUCGGGUUUUUCUUCUCACGGUCGGACCUCUGAUUAGCCUAGGGUUUUCCUAAUUUUUUGGAAAAAUUACUUUUUAGUCUCUGAGGUUUAACGUAAUUAACACUUCUGUCCCUCUAUUUUGACGACCCAACACAUAAGUCCCUCACUUUCUCUUUCGUCCAAAUUCGUAGUCCUUUCGUCCAUUUAAAUCGUUUGGUCAAAGAGUCAACGGUGAGAGGUGAUAAUUUUUUCUAAAAAUACCCUUCUCUCAAUGUGAAAUUCUUAUUUUUUUUUUCUUUCAUGUUUUCUCAAGAAGAAAAAGAAGAAGAAGAAAAAGAAGUUGCAGAAAUGGUAGGAAGAAGAAGAAAGAAGAAGAAGUUGCAAAAAGGGUAAGAAGAAGAAGAAGAAAAAGAAAAAAAAGAAGAAAGAAGUUGCAAAAAGGGUAGGAAGAAGAAGAAAAAGUGUUAAUUACGUGUUGGAUAGAAAAGAAAAUGAGGGAUUUAAAUGUUGGAUCGCCAAAAUAGAGGGACAAAAGUGUUAAUUACGUUAAAUUUCAGGGAUUAAAAAGUAAUUUUUUCUAAUUUUUUUUUAUUUUGCGGGCUAUUGAGGGUUUGAGGAGGUGGUUGUUUGAAUGCUAAAAACUGCCCAAUUUUAGAAAUAUUAUAAUCUAUUAUUUUUUACAUGUAAAUUAAAAACUUUAUUUUUCAGAUA